AUCCAGCUGACGACUCCCAAAUAGGACGAAGUGUGCCUUAUCCUGGAU
rnacentral:hammerhead_ribozyme from 1 species